AGUGAACGCUGGCGGUAGGCCUAACACAUGCAAGUCGAACGGCAGCACAGUAGGAGCUUGCUCUUACGGGUGGCGAGUGGCGGACGGGUGAGGAAUCCAUCGGAAUCUACUUUUUCGUGGGGGAUAACGUAGGGAAACUUACGCUAAUACCGCAUACGACCUACGGGUGAAAGCAGGGGAUCUUCGGACCUUGCGCGAUUGAAUGAGCCGAUGUCGGAUUAGCUAGUUGGCGGGGUAAAGGCCCACCAAGGCGACGAUCCGUAGCUGGUCUGAGAGGAUGAUCAGCCACACUGGAACUGAGACACGGUCCAGACUCCUACGGGAGGCAGCAGUGGGGAAUAUUGGACAAUGGGCGCAAGCCUGAUCCAGCCAUACCGCGUGGGUGAAGAAGGCCUUCGGGUUGUAAAGCCCUUUUGUUGGGAAAGAAAAGCAGCAGGUUAAUACCCCGCUGUUCUGACGGUACCCAAAGAAUAAGCACCGGCUAACGUCGUG
rnacentral:rRNA from 1 species